UAUAUAUAUAUAUAUAUCAUUACGAUUCUGGAACUCAGGCUCUAACAGUCUGCACCACACCACGACCAUGUCGGCAAGGUCUUGCUUUUUGGCGGCCAUGUUCCUGUUGUUGAUUGGCAUCUUCCAGCUACACGCACCACGGGCUAUGGCGGACUCGGCGCCCGGUUGUACCAAAAACCCCAAUCAUCGUACUGUGUCUUGCCCUCGGGACCCUCCAAAUCAGCUGUGUAAUGAGCCACCAUGUCCGAAUCCUUAGUUAUCAGGAGCAGCGUUGCCAUGCAAGUUUUCAAACCGCCGAGAAAGGCUGACUCCAGUGGGAAUGAAUUCACAAGUUCUCUUGUCUCUCUGCGCAUGCAUGCAUGAUUGGGGGAUAAAAAUGUAUCUUUGCUCGUCCACCUUCCAUGGGUGCAGGCUUGUGUCAUAUAGUGGGUAUAGUUUUUGUGAAAAUUUGUGAAUGGUUAAAUCUUCUGUGUACCGCGAAUAAAAUAUAUUAUCUUGAUACUUCUUGCGUGUAUCUAUAACAUAUUAAAUGAUGUAUGAAGUUUUUGAACUAUAUUUGUUGGCCAAAUGGCCCUGCCCUUUUAGAGGCAGCACUUAA